GAGUUUGAUCAUGGCUCAGAUUGAACGCUGGCGGCAUGCCUUACACAUGCAAGUCGAACGGCAGCACGGGAGCUUGCUCCUGGUGGCGAGUGGCGAACGGGUGAGUAAUGCAUCGGAACGUAUCCUGGAGUGGGGGAUAACGUAGCGAAAGUUACGCUAAUACCGCAUAUUCUGUGAGCAGGAAAGCGGGGGACCUUCGGGCCUCGCGCUCUUGGAGCGGCCGAUGUCGGAUUAGCUAGUUGGUGAGGUAAAGGCUCACCAAGGCGACGAUCCGUAGCAGGUCUGAGAGGAUGAUCUGCCACACUGGAACUGAGACACGGUCCAGACUCCUACGGGAGGCAGCAGUGGGGAAUUUUGGACAAUGGGGGCAACCCUGAUCCAGCCAUGCCGCGUGAGUGAAGAAGGCCUCGGUU
rnacentral:rRNA from 36 species